CAGCACCUCAAGUGGUCAGGAUGAUUAUUGGGCCUAAAGCAUCCGUAGCCGGCUCUGUAAGUUUUCGGUUAAAUCUGUAUGCUCAACAUACAGGCUGCCGGGAAUACUGCAGAGCUAGGGAGUGGGAGAGGUAGACGGUACUCGGUACGAAGGGGUAAAAUCCUUUGAUCUAGUGAUGACCACCUGUGGCGAAGGCGGUCUACCAGAACACGUCCGACGGUGAGGGAUGAAAGCUGGGGGAGCAAACCGGAUUAGAUACCCGAGUAGUCC
rnacentral:rRNA from 1 species